UACGGAGGGUGCAAACGUUGCUCGGAAUCAUUGGGCGUAAAGCGCACGUAGGCGGCCCUGCAAGUCGGAUGUGAAAUCCCUCGGCUUAACCAAGGAAGUGCAUUCGAAACUGCAAGGCUUGAGUACUGGAGAGGGUCGCGGAAUUCUCGGUGUAGAGGUGAAAUUCGUAGAUAUCGGGAGGAACACCAGUGGCGAAGGCGGCGACCUGGACAGAUACUGACGCUGAGGUGCGAAAGCGUGGGGAGCGAACAGG
rnacentral:rRNA from 1 species